rfam:Stegodyphus mimosarum contig108877, whole genome shotgun sequence.
ACAGGUACGGAGACAUGGUGCCAGACACCCCUACGGGUAAAAUCGUGGGAGGUAUCUGCUCCUUGAGCGGCGUAUUGGUAAUUGCCUUACCGGUACCGGUCAUUGUCUCCAAU